GGCGGUGGUUUAACUANNUCRRAGGAAUUUGCCCCGUAAUCGAUAAUCCUCGUUUGAUCUUACUUAACUUUGUAUUCAGCUUGUAUACCGCCGUCAUCAGGAAAUUUUAUGAAAAUAUUUCCGAGAGUUAAAGAAACAUGUCAGGUCAAGGUGCAGUUUAUGGUUAAGAGAGAGGUGAAUUACAAUAAAAUUAUUUAUUACGAACUGAAAUGAAAAAAGAGAGGAAGGUGGAUU
rnacentral:rRNA from 1 species